UUGAGCAAUUUAGCUGAUCGCACGGUCUAUGAACCGGCGACAUAUCCUUCAAACGUCUGCCUUAUCAACUUUCGAUGGUAGAUUAUGCGCCUACCAUGGUUGUAACGGGUAACGGAGAAUCAGGGUUUGAUUCCGGAGAGGGAGCCUGAGAAACGGCUACCACAUCCAAGGAAGGCAGCAGGCACGCAAAUUACCCACUCCCGGCAAGGGGAGGUAGUGACGAAAAAUAACAAGCUGGUCUCUAUGAGGUCCGGCAUUGUAAUGGGAACAACUUAAAUCAUUUAUCGAGGAUCUAUUGGAGGGCAAGUCUGGUGCCAGCAGCCGCGGUAAUUCCAGCUCCAAUAGCGUAUAUUAAAGUUGUUGCGGUUAAAAAG
rnacentral:rRNA from 1 species